rnacentral:tRNA from 1 species
ACGCUCGUAACUCAAUUGGAUAGAGUAACAGGCUACGGACCUGUAAGUUGCGGGUUCGAUUCCUGCCGAGCGUG